rnacentral:rRNA from 1 species
CUUGACUGUAUCCUGGAAUUGGGUUCGGGCUUUUCUUGCGCAGCCUAGGUGGGAGGCUAUGAAGGUUCUCUUCCGGGAGAACCAGAGCCAUCAGUGAGAGACCACUCUGGAAGAGCUAGAAUCCUAAUGGUGAUCUUUGAAUCAAGACACUUGACAGUUUCAGGUGGGCAGUUUAUCUGGGGCGGAUGCCUCCUAAAAGGUAACGGAGGCGUGCAAAGGUUCUCUCAGUCUGGACGGAAAUCAGACAUUGAGUGCAAAGGCAAAAGAGAGCUUGACUGCAAGACCAACAAGUCGAGCAGGGGCGAAAGCCGGCCUUAGUGAUCCGACGGUGCCGCGUGGAAGGGCCGUCGCUCAACGGAUAAAAGUUA